UGCCACCGAUAAGUCGGAGAAAGCCAACCGCCUUCAUCUUCCAUCUUCUUAUUCACUAAUAAAACCAGUUAGGGUUUAUCAAUCUAAACCUAACCCUAACACCAUGGCCCAAUCUCCAUCCUCCACGGCGCGUCUGCUCUACACUCUCCGUUCAUCCAUUUCUGCAUCACCGAAAUCACCGCCGUCGCCAAUCACCGCGCUCCUCCACCUCCACCUCCACCUCCACCGCCACUACUCCGCCGCACCAUCUCUGAGAGUAAAGGACGACAAGGAUCCAUGGUGGAAGGAAUCAAUGGAUAAGGUACUUCUCAUAAGGACACAGUGAACAGAGAUUUCAGUUGAUAGCAACAAACUUUCAAAUCUGCAAGGCAAAGGCGCCAAGAUGGCUACUGCGGUCAAGAUUCGUGGCGAUAACUGAAUAAUUUGGGGUGAUGUUAAUCUGUGAAAAGGAUCCAUACCCACCCUCGUAUUGUCUACAAGAGAGUUUUUAUUACAGAAUGAUGACAAGAACGGCCAACAACAGGAGUUCCAACCCCAUAUGUUUUUUCCAAAAGAUAUCUCAAGGCGGCUCAAUCAGAUUCAAAACUCAACCAAAUGUCAAUUUUAGAUGGAUUUUUACCUCGUGGAAUAUGAGGUGGUCAAAUUCGCGCCAUCACUCUUGGCUGCAGCUUCUGUUUACACUGCUCAGUACAAUCUUUGUGGAUUCAAACAUUGGUCCAAAACUUGUGAAUGGCAUACAAAAUAAUCCGAAGAUCAACUUCUGU